UACGUAGGCAGCAAGCGUUGUUCGGAAUUACUGGGCGUAAAGAGUGUGUAGGCGGUGCCCUAAGGUUGGUGUGAAAUCUCCCGGCUCAACUGGGAGGGUGCAUCGAAAACUGGGGUGCUCGAGGGUGGGAGAGGUAAGCGGAAUUCCUGGUGUAGCGGUGAAAUGCGUAGAUAUCAGGAGGAACACCUGUGGUGUAGACAGCUUACUGGACCACUUCUGACGCUGAGACACGAAAGCGUGGGUAGCAAACAGG
rnacentral:rRNA from 1 species